rnacentral:rRNA from 1 species
UACAGAGGUGGCAAGCGUUGUUCGGAAUUACUGGGCGUAAAGGGCGCGUAGGCGGUCUUGCAAGUCCUGUGUGAAAUCUUGGGGCUUAACCCCGAAACGGCACUCGAAACUGCCCGGCUGGAGGGCCGGAGAGGAGACGGAAUUCACGGUGUAGCAGUGAAAUGCGUAGAGAUCGUGAGGAAGACCCGUGGCGAAGGCGGAUCUCUGGACGGCUAACUGACGCUGAGGCGCGAAGGCCAGGGGAGCAAACGGGG